CAUCUUUUCUUGUUAGUUUUUGAAGUAUGGCCUGCCCACUGACUUAGAGUUGAAGGGCCGCGGUAUUUUGACCGUGCAAAGGUAGCAUAAUCAUUAGUUCUUUAAUUGUGAUCUGGUAUGAAUGGCUUGACGAGACAUAAGCUGUCUUAGAGGUAUUGGUUUAUUGAAUUUGGUUUUUGAGUUAAAAUUCUUAAAUGUUUUUAUGGGACGAGAAGACCCUAUAGAGUUUGACAAUUUUCCUAUUUAUUCGUUGUUUGUGUUUAUUUACAUUGAGUGGGAGUGAAUUGUUUUGUUGGGGUGAUGGGAGGAAUAUUAUUUAACUCCUCUUUGUUUUUAUAUAUUUAUGUAUAUAUUUUUGAUCCAUUUAUUUUGAUUAUAAGAUUAAAUUACCUUA
rnacentral:rRNA from 1 species